GGUCACGUGUCCCUUGUUUACCUUCGGUGUGCAGACCGCGCAUCUCAGCCCUUUCCUGUUCUGAGGGAGUAGCGCUGCUGCCGCGGGCUGUGAGCGGGCGGGCAGCUUCCCUGGGAGGAGGGGAAGCACUCAGCAGUGAGGGAAGGCUUACAAUGUCACUGCCAACAAAGAGGUGCGGAAGACCCCCAGUGUUGUCUUUCUUGGAAAAGAAAAAGAGAAAACAAAGUCUUGAUAGGAGGAGAGGAAAAACCAGGAUUUAUGUGGGAAAUCAUAUUGACCGAUGGCUGACACUGAAGGAAAAACUGGAUUUCAGGAACGAUGCAGAAGUUGCUGGAUUUUUAUUGGACUUGUAUGACAGCUAUGACCCGCUGACAAAAGCUCCCAUCUGUUCCCUCCCUGGGGGUGUGAGAAGAAUUUCUGUGAAAGAAGAAAGAGCACUUUCAGGCAGCGCUUGCUUAAUAGCAGCUGAUGGAACGUAUGAUGAUGGUGACCGGCUGUCUGAAGAGGCUGCCUGCUCUGAAUAUGGAGACUACAGAAUUGUCACUGUGAAGGAAGAGCGAGAGACUCCACCUCAUUGCUCAUCAGUGAAGACAGAUAACACGUUAGUGAUACUAUGGGGUUCUUCUUGCAUGUUUUACAUUUGAAAAUGUUUUGUAUUGACUUCUAUUAUCACUUUUAAUUUAGCUUAUCAGAAACUCAUGUCAUUUACACUCUGAUUCCUUACCUGAAAUUUAAUAGGGGAUGAUCACUCCAGUAACAGUGAGGGAAGCAUCUGGGAGAGUUUUUGGAAGAGUUCCUUAGAGUAUACACAGCAAACUUCUUGUUCAUUGACUUGUUUUCCUGAAGUCUGUGAAUGGAACAAGAAAAUAGCUAAUACGUGUGGAAUAUUGGCUACCUUAGUAAAUAACGAGGUUUUCAGUCAUGCAGUAUCCAGGCACGUGUAUACUUUAACAUUUUAGAAAAGAAAAAUGUUUCUUUGUUGACUGUUCAAGUGAUAACGCAUACGAAGUGAUGCAUAAACCUACUUAGAAGUAGUGCCGUGCUCAAGGAGGCAACCACGCCAUCAGUCGACUGCUGAUGUCUUUUACUGCAGUGUCAUCAGUAACUGAGGCAUUCACAGUUGAGAGAUCAGAGGAGCCUCGAAUAGGGGGACACUGAGAACCUAGGACAGUGCAUUGGCAUUGCAUGGUGUGUCCAAACCCUUCGCUAACAUAAAUAGGUGAAUGUGUUGGGCUUCUGGAAGUAAUGCCCUGGCUCAGAAGAAUGACUGGAAGCUGAAUCAGGAGAAAACAAAUACCAGUGCUGGAGAAGCUGAAAAUUUCAAGUGCAUUCUUCAAAACAGCACUUUUCAAGGAUAAUAUUGUUUUAGGUUGGAGUGCUACAAUACUUUAAUUCCUGGGACUGACUUUCUACAGGGUAACCAGCAAGAAGAAAAUCAAGCACUUGAAUAAUGACCUUGGGGCAGUUCUUGGUCCUUUUUGGUUUUGCUGUGAGGGUUUUGUGAGUUAUAAAGAAUGACUGUAAGUUCUAGUAUGAAAUCCCAUGUAUAUUGUUGAACAACUAAUUAAACUUCAAUUACCUAAAGUUCUGUUGUGUUACCUUGAUAUUAAUAAAGCGUGUGGAGUGGAU
rnacentral:lncRNA from 7 species